rnacentral:rRNA from 1 species
AUUGAACGCUGGCGGCAGGCCUAACACAUGCAAGUCGAGCGGAUGAAGGGAGCUUGCUCCUGGAUUCAGCGGCGGACGGGUGAGUAAUGCCUAGGAAUCUGCCUGGUAGUGGGGGAUAACGUCCGGAAACGGGCGCUAAUACCGCAUACGUCCUGAGGGAGAAAGUUGGGGAUCUUCGGACCUCACGCUAUCAGAUGAGCCUAGGUCGGAUUAGCUAGUUGGUGGGGUAAAGGCCUACCAAGGCGACGAUCCGUAACUGGUCUGAGAGGAUGAUCAGUCAAACUGGAACUGAGACACGGUCAAGACUCCUACGGGAGGCAGCAGUGGGGAAUAUUGGACAAUGGGCGAAAGCCUGAUCCAGCCAUGCCGCGUGUGUGAAGAAGGUCUUCGGAUUGUAAAGCACUUUAAGUUGGGAGGAAGGGAAGUAAGUUAAUACCUUGCUGUUUUGACGUUACCAACAGAAUAAGCACCGGCUAACUUCGUG